GCUGCGGGCGGGGAGCCCGGCCUCCGAGUCCGCCCGCGCCCAGGAGCCCGCGGGCCAGGGGGGACCCGCUUGCCAAGGAGGGGGCGGCCGGCGAGAGGGGCCUGGCCUGGUCGGCGCCGGGCCCUGCGGAGGGAGGGAAGCCGCGGCCAGGUGCAGUUCACGGCCCUCCGCGCCCCGCAGGUCGGAGACUCCCACCGGUUUCGUGUUUUGCCCAGACCCCUUGCUGGAGAUCCGCCUGCAGCUCCUGGCGCGGGACCUGAAGCUCGGCCUCUCCUCUGCUCUCCUGGGUUUGGCAAGUUGGCCUCGUAACUACUUCUCUUUUUGCCUUCCUCCUUUCUUUGCUGUGCUGUCGCGCCUUCCUGCCGCUCCUCGAGCUUCUGGGCUCACAGCGAGCUGGGCUCUGGAACCGCCUUCUCAUCCCCAUUCUUUAGGUCAAGAGACCUGGAGCUCGACAGCCCCCCGUCUGCUGGGACCGCCCUUUGGUCCUACUCAUGCUGACAUUUCUCCUUCCCACCUCGGUGCAGAAGAGGGAGCUGAAUGGGAAAUGCAGCAGCCAGGACAAACCAGCGCUUCUGUGGGAUGCUGGCUUUGCCAAGAGACGGCUUAACCCAGCGGGGCACAAUGCUAGCUGCCAUCCGAGGGUGCUUCUGCAAGUUUGUGGAAAAGUUAAGCUACAAGGCAUAAUCUUUUCCUAGUUUUCAAUAAUAAAAAGUGCAACAAAACAAAAAGCUUUUAAAAGAAACUAAGGCCAAAGAGACACCAACGACAGCUGGCAGAAGGAAACACCAGUGAACAAAGCACCAUGGAAGGAUCAUAGUGGAAAAUACAACCAAGACAAACAGUGCAGAGAAACAAGGUCCAGCUCCAAAUUACCUUUGUUAUAAAGUUUGAGUCUUUGUUGUACAGAUGUAAUGGCUCCCAGGACUGAAAGGCGGUUUACUCGGGACUUAAUGUUAGAUGCAGUUCCAAACUCAUCUGCUAACAUUUUUGCCACUCGGGAAAUCUGGUCUUUGGGAGGAAUGAUCAAUGAUAUCAUGCUGGUGCCAUUGCUGUGGAAGAAGGAAUAACUCAUUAGAGGUUCAAACACCCUAUAACUAGAGAGUGUAAGUUAAUUUAGUGAAGUGAGUUAGCCUGAAAUGCCUCUCAAGUAAUAGACAUAAGUCACUGCCAAGGUGACCAGGAAGCUGUGGACUUGUGUUACUCAGAGCUAGGAACAGUGUUCAGACCACUAAGUGUUUAGUUAUUUCAGUAAAUAAUGAGUGUAACUAAUUAUGUAAGGAGGAUACUUGAAGGGAAUUCAUGGGAAGCAUCUUAAUCCCCUAGGA